rnacentral:rRNA from 1 species
UACGUAUGGCGCAAUCGUUGUCCGGAAUUAUUGGGCGUAAAGAGUUCGUAGGCGGUUUGUCGCGUCUGUCGUGAAAGCCCACGGCUUAACUGUGGGUCUGCGGUGGAUACGGGCAGACUAGAGGCAGGUAGGGGAGAAUGGAAUUCCCGGUGUAGUGGUGAAAUGCGUAGAGAUCGGCAGGAAGACCAAGGGGGAAGCCAGGCACCUGGGCCCGUACUGACACUCAUGGACGUGCGCGUGGGGAGCGAACCGG